rnacentral:rRNA from 1 species
CAGUCGCCGCGGGAAUACGUAGGGUGCGAGCGUUAAUCGGAAUUACUGGGCGUAAAGCGUGCGCAGGCGGUUAUAUAAGACAGAUGUGAAAUCCCCGGGCUCAACCUGGGACCUGCAUUUGUGACUGUAUAGCUAGAGUACGGUAGAGGGGGAUGGAAUUCCGCGUGUAGCAGUGAAAUGCGUAGAUAUGCGGAGGAAAACCGAUGGCGAAGGCAAUCCCCUGGACCUGUACUGACGCUCAUGCACGAAAGCGUGGGGAGCAAACAGGAUUAGAUACCCCCGUAGUCCCUGUCUCUUAACA